rnacentral:lncRNA from 1 species
GUAACUAAGGCCAUCUAGGAGGCUGAAAUCAAAGUUUGCCUUUAGCUACGGGAUUCACUCCUGAGUACCCAAGGCCGAGAAAGAGAAGACUCUGUCUUUAGCUGAUGCAAGGUUUCCUUCCUUGGAUGCAAGAUAAAAUAAACACAUUCCUUAGAUUAUUUUGCUUUUUUCUUUUUAAAAUAUGCUUUUUGAAUUGAUUUCCAUUUUAACCAAAGAAAAUGAAUUUGGAAAGUGCUUUCACUCAUAGGAUUUACUUAAAUUGUAAGUAUAUAAAAAAAGGACAGUCUUAAAACCCUCAAAAUUUGUUAGAAAUGAACAACUAAUGAGACAGUCAAGUCACUCAGGGUGAUAGACGUCCUUGGCUUCCCCUCCUCACUCCAGCCUCCUGUGACUCUGUGUCACCCGCAUCCCCAUAUGGCAUGGAACGUGCUCCCUCUCCCUUCACGUGGGUCACGUUGUGCACAUGGCAUGAAUCCUGAGAGUAUGAAGAGGUGGCGCCUUUCAGAGUCACAAUCAUAGCAAUGCAACUGUAGAACUGACAGAGUGAAGGAGCCAAUCUACCAGAAGUGAUGCAGUAAACUAGAAAAUGAGGACACAGAGGCAGAUGAGCCCCCAGCACUGCCUGGAGGAAGAGAGGCAGAGGAUGGGAGAUACCAGUACUCUGGGUUGUUCCUGUGGUAAGUUCCUCCAGCAUAAAAACAAGACAAAGUUUCUGCAGAGCUGCUCUAACCCAAUAAUAAAAUUGGACAAUAAGCUGCAUAUCUGCCGGAAACCUGGGACUGGCAAUGGAGAUGAGAAGAGAAUCAGAAGGCUGAAAUGAAGCCACAAUGUUGACAGCAAGUGGAGUCUGGCAACCCCAAGUUUCCAAAGUGCACAUCUGCGCUGGGGCCUGGAGAUUUCUGGAAGGGAAUCAGUCUGUGUCCUUUUUGCAGGAUAUGUCUGAUGACAUAGAAGCUGUGGAAUCCAUUCUUCAGGGUCUAAACUCAAGCCUGGUCCUUAGUUCUCCGUACUGUAUUCUUCCUGACCUCCAGACCUGAGCGUCCUCCCCUUCAAAAGACAAAGCCAUCCAAAGAGUCUGAGCACUCCAAGUGAGCAGCUUGAAGAGUGAGAGACAUGGACAGAGGGAAGGGCAGGUCUGUGCAGCCUGUGGCCAUAAACCCCACCUCUGGCCUUCUCCAGUGAAGCCACACUCAAGAUUUAAGAGAACUUGUGAUCAACUUGGGGUAUUUGCACCCCACGAAAAGGGAGUUUGCAGGAUCCCUAAUAUCACUGCGAGUUGCCACUUUUCCAGUCUUUUUUUGCUGUUCGCUCAUAUCCACAGGGAAAAAAACGAAAUGAGCAGCCCAGUCCCUCAGGCCUUUUUCUUUAAUGUUGCCAUCAAAAAUCAAUAAAAUGCAUCAAGC